UGCCGGCAGCGGGAGCGCCGUCGCCGCCAUGUUGGGAAGGUCCGGGCCUCGGCCGGGCACCGCUCCCCCGGGGCUGAGGAGGCUCCGUCCGCCAUGUCGCGGGGGCACUCUUCUGCGCUGGCUUUUUAAGUCUCUGUGGGACAGCCACCCCGCCCUGCUGCAGGACACAGGCACGGCUGCUGGCGGUGCUCCUCGCUGAAAAGAGCAAAAUGUUUAAUUUCUGACCGAAAAGAAACGCUACUUCCCACAUCUACAGUGAAAGCGAUGCUAGCAUCAGCCAACUAAGGUGACAUUUAACCCGAGUCCUUAAACUUCAAUUUACAAAAGCAAACAAUACCGACAAAACCCCACUGAAGCCAUCAAACAAUAUUUUAUAUUGUUUAUUACAAAUGUUAUGCAAAAUAUAACACUGGCACCAGAUUUGUAUCACGAUGGUUUGAAAAGAUAUAUUGCACAUGCUAAAGCGUAAGACAAAACCUACAAAACUUAAGAUAUUGGCUUUAAUAUGUAGAUCACUGCAUAAGAAAACGCAUAAAAUUACAUUUUAUACACACACUCAGAUUGUCACUAGUUUAAAACGCCUUUUCCUAUAACACUGACCUAAGGUUGACUUUUUGUGUAAUAAGAAAGCAUUUUCAGCACUGCAAAAAUUAUACAUUAUUCCUAUAGAAAUUUAAUAUUAAUUUUCAUUUCAAUGCAAGUAGAACAUAUGAAAAGAAUAAACACUUUGUACAUUCAAAGAAGGUCUGAAAUGAAAAUUUACUGGUAAUAUAUUGCUUUCAUAACACUCAAAUGAAAAAAAAAAAAAAAACAAGUUUCACAAAACAUUUCCAUAAUACACAAAUAUAAAAAGGCACUCUAAUGUUUCUUACAUAACUAAGAAUAAAACCCACAAUUUUUUUUUAAUUUUUUUUUUUUGUGUAAAUCAUCCUCAAGAUACAUAACCAAGUUUCUCAACAGUACAAUGGAUAAACAAUUCUUUAUGUGUUUGUUCUAGUUCAAUAAUCUGGCAGUUUUUUACUGCAUAAAAGUACCAAACACAUUAUGGUGCCCUUUUAGUAGCGAUGAACAGAAAUCCCCUGAGCUAUUUCACAGCAAUUUCAGGCAGUCCAGAGGUUGAAACUCAGUAUUUAUGAGUGAGACUUGGGGACCCUGUCCUGCUAUGGAUUCUACCUGCAGCUGUGGCUAAAAAUACAGGAUGAAAUUAUCCUGUUAAUACACCCAGGCUCAAAUACCCUUUGCUCAGUGCAGGCACAGAAUUCAUCCACGCACUGUAAAUUGCAGGAUCCAGGGUUAAGUGCAACAAUUAACUUGUGAGUUACUCUUGUAAAAAGUCCACAGAAAGGCAAGUUGAUUAUUUACAAGAGUAAAAAUUAUUCCCGUGCUUAAAUACCUGCCCUAAAUUACACAUUUGUUUCUACGUGUGAUAAAUUAUAUUACAGAUUCAUGUACUAGCACAAAAAAAAAAAAAAAAAAAAAAAGAAAAAAAAAAAGACAAGAAAAGGGAUUCUGGGAACUCACAUGAGAUGUGGGCCAACACUGAGUGCUUCCAAGAGUCUUCUUGCUCCUAACAGCUUUCCUC